rnacentral:piRNA from 1 species
UACUCAGAUACAGACGGUUCGACGAU